rnacentral:sRNA from 1 species
CGUAAGACCGCGCGAAGGAUGGCAGUGAAAAUCCUUUUGUUUGUAGCGCAGCGGAAAACAAAAGAUUGAAACGGACAGCCUGACCCUUG